GCUUGAAUAGCUCAGUCGGUAGAGCAAUCGGCUGUUAACCGAUCGGUCGUAGGUUCGAGUCCUACUUCAAGCGCCA
rnacentral:tRNA from 5 species